CCUACGGGAGGCAGCAGUAGGGAAUAUUGCUCAAUGGGGGAAACCCUGAAGCAGCAACGCCGCGUGGAGGAUGAAGGUUUUCGGAUUGUAAACUCCUUUUGUUAGAGAAGAUAAUGACGGUAUCUAACGAAUAAGCACCGGCUAACUCCGUGCCAGCAGCCGCGGUAAUACGGAGGGUGCAAGCGUUACUCGGAAUCACUGGGCGUAAAGAGCGCGUAGGCGGGAUAGCAAGUCAGAUGUGAAAUCCUAUGGCUUAACCAUAGAACUGCAUUUGAAACUGUUAGUCUAGAGUAUGGGAGAGGUAGGUGGAAUUCGUGGUGUAGGGGUAAAAUCCGUAGAGAUCAAGAGGAAUACUCAUUGCGAAGGCGACCUGCUAGAACAUAACUGACGCUGAUGCGCGAAAGCGUGGGUAGCAAACAGGAUUAGAUACCCCUGUAGUC
rnacentral:rRNA from 1 species